UACGUAGGUGGCAAGCGUUGUCCGGAUUUAUUGGGUUUAAAGGGUGCGUAGGCGGCCCUAUAAGUCAGUGCUGAAAUAUCCCGGCUUAACCGGGAGGGUGGCAUUGAUACUGUAGGGCUUGAGUGUAGCCGAGGUAGGCGGAAUUGACGGUGUAGCGGUGAAAUGCUUAGAUAUCGUCAAGAACACCGAUAGUGUAGACAGCUUACUAGGCUCAAACUGACGCUGAGGCACGAAAGUGUGAGGAUCAAACAGG
rnacentral:rRNA from 1 species